rnacentral:rRNA from 1 species
UGAGCAAUCUGCCCUUCACAUCGGGAUAACCCCCGGAAACGGGAGCUAAUACCGGAUACGACCACUUCAGGCAUCUGAUGGUGGUGGAAAGUUCUGGCGGUGAAGGAUGAGCUCGCGGCCUAUCAGCUUGUUGGUGAGGUAAUGGCCCACCAAGGCUUCGACGGGUAGCCGGCCUGAGAGGGUGACCGGCCACACUGGGACUGAGACACGGCCCAGACCUCCGUAAGGGA